AGUGUGAGGUGGCAGGAGAUGCUCUGCAGUGUGUGAGGUGGCAGUAGAUGAGAUGCUCUGCAGAGUGUGAGGAGACAGGAGAUGCUCUGCAGAGUGUGAGGUGGCAGGUAAGGCUCUGCAGAGUGUGAGGUGGCAGGAGAUGAGAUGCUCUGCAGUGUAUGAGGUGGCAGGAGAUGCUCUGCAGAGUGUGAGGUGGCAGUAGAUGAGAUGCUUUGCAGAGUGUGAGGAGAUGCUAUGCAGUGCGAGGUGGCAGGAGAUGCUCUGCAGAGUGUGAGGAGACUGGAGAUGCUCUGCAGAGUGUGUGAGGAGAUGAAAUGCUUUGCAGAGUGUGAGGAGACAGGAGAUGCUCUGCACAAUGCAUGAUGUGAUGUACCUCUUGAUAUUGUGUGUGUUUGCUUGGUACCAGUGUAAAGGUCUGACUGCCAGCAGGAGGAUGG
rnacentral:lncRNA from 1 species